rnacentral:rRNA from 1 species
UACGAAGGGGGCUAGCGUUGCUCGGAAUCACUGGGCGUAAAGGGUGCGUAGGCGGGUCUUUAAGUCAGGGGUGAAAUCCUGGAGCUCAACUCCGGAACUGCCUUUGAUACUGAAGAUCUUGAGUCCGGGAGAGGUGAGUGGAACUGCGAGUGUAGAGGUGAAAUUCGUAGAUAUUCGCAAGAACACCAGUGGCGAAGGCGGCCCACUGGAUCGGUACUGACGCUGAGGUGCGAAAGCGUGGGGAGCAAACAGG